rnacentral:rRNA from 1 species
GCGAGUGGCGAACGGGUGAGUAAUACAUCGGAACGUGCCCAAUCGUGGGGGAUAACGCAGCGAAAGCUGUGCUAAUACCGCAUACGAUCUACGGAUGAAAGCAGGGGAUCGCAAGACCUUGCGCGAAUGGAGCGGCCGAUGGCAGAUUAGGUAGUUGGUGAGGUAAAGGCUCACCAAGCCUUCGAUCUGUAGCUGGUCUGAGAGGACGACCAGCCACACUGGGACUGAGACACGGCCCAGACUCCUACGGGAGGCAGCAGUGGGGAAUUUUGGACAAUGGGCGAAAGCCUGAUCCAGCCAUGCCGCGUGCAGGAUGAAGGCCUUCGGGUUGUAAACUGCUUUUGUACGGAACGAAACGGCCUUUUCUAAUAAGGAGGGCUAAUGACGGUACCGUAAGAAUAAGCACCGGCUAACUACGUGCCAGCAGCCGCGGUAAUACGUAGGGUGCAAGCGUUAAUCGGAAUUACUGGGCGUAAAGCGUGCGCAGGCGGUUAUGUAAGACAGUUGUGAAAUCCCCGGGCACAACCUGGGAACUGCAUCUGUGACUGCAUAGCUAGAGUACGGUAGAGGGGGAUGGAAUUCCGCGUGUAGCAGUGAAAUGCGUAGAUA